AUUGAACGCUGGCGGCAUGCCUUACACAUGCAAGUCGAACGGCAGCACGGGAGCAAUCCUGGUGGCGAGUGGCGAACGGGUGAGUAAUAUAUCGGAACGUGCCCAGUCGUGGGGAUAACGUAGCGAAAGCUACGCUAAUACCGCAUACGAUCUAUGGAUGAAAGCGGGGGAUCGCAAGACCUCGCGCGAUUGGAGCGGCCGAUAUCAGAUUAGGUAGUUGGUGAGGUAAAGGCUCACCAAGCCGACGAUCUGUAGCUGGUCUGAGAGGACGACCAGCACACUGGGACUGAGACACGGCCCAGACUCCUACGGGAGGCAGCAGUGGGGAAUUUUGGACAAUGGGCGAAAGCCUGAUCCAGCCAUACCGCGUGCGGGAAG
rnacentral:rRNA from 1 species